CAUUAGGUGGCUGAAAGUAAGCUAUGGAAUUUUAAACCAUUUUAUAAUAAAAUAACAUCUAUUCCUAAUGA
rnacentral:tRNA from 1 species